rnacentral:rRNA from 1 species
UACGUAGGGGGCUAGCGUUGUCCGGAAUCAUUGGGCGUAAAGCGCGUGUAGGCGGUUCGGUAAGUCCGCUGUGAAAGUCGGGGGCUCAACCCUCGAAUGCCGGUGGAUACUGUCGAACUAGAGUGCGGAAGAGGCGAGUGGAAUUCCUGGUGUAGCGGUGAAAUGCGCAGAUAUCAGGAGGAACACCGGUGGCGAAGGCGGGUCUCUGGACCAGUUCUGACACUGAUGAGCGAAAGCCAGGGGAGCAAACAGG